AGUAAUGCCUAGGAAUCUGCCUGGUAGGUGGGGGACGAACGUUUCGAAAGGAACGCUAAUACCGCAUACGUCCUACGGGAGAAAGCAGGGGACCGUUCGGGCCUUGCGCUAUCAGAUGAGCCUAGGUCGGAUUAGCUAGUUGGUGAGGUAAUGGCUCACCAAGGCGACGAUCCGUAACUGGUCUGAGAGGAUGAUCAGUCACACUGGAAUUGAGACACGGUCCAGACUCCUACGGGAGGCAGCAGCG
rnacentral:rRNA from 1 species